AGGAAAAUAAACAAAAUAGCCGGCGUUAAAGCGCAAGCGCAGAAUUUAAAGCGCGAAAGGGAGUGAUAAUUUUGUUUAGGCUAAUGUAGUGCAAGGGGGCGGAGUCUUGUGCAGGCCGAAAAGUUCAGCGCCGUCCUUCCGCGUUACUUUCGUUUCCUUGCGGUUGAGGAGGCGGAGCGGUUGAGGAGGAGGACAUAUUUUGUGUCUGGUUGCUGAGCAACAUUGACGGCGCCUAAGGAAAAUAUGGCAUUCUUUCAACCGAUUCCUUAACCCACAAGAUAAAAAAUGAAAUAAUUCAGCAAUACAUACUAGAAAUGUUGUGUUUUACCGGUACACCGGAAAGCUUUCCGGUUGUCGUGUUUUAAGCUGUAAAAAAUCCUGCCCCAAAGCAUGGAAAGGGACAUUAAUUUGUUUCGCUUGUUCAAUAAUUUCCCUGUUUCAAAUUUUCAGCGAAGGGGCUUCUCUCUCCAGGAUAAAUGCGUUGCCCGAAUAUAUUGUCUUUUAUUCCUGUCCAAGCCGGAAAAAUGUAAACUUUCCGACUCCAGCUCGACCGUUAAUAACUGGCAUCUUCGCAAUUGCCUUCUGUCAUGUUUUUUCACCCCCUGAACACGCAGACAAGCCCUGAGUUUCCUUGCGCGAGAGAAAGGGCAAUGCUGAUAUAAACUAUAGUGGUUUGGGUGGAUUAGGAAGAACAAGGAGAGAAUCGAGGAUAUAAUUAGUAAAAACCAUACCAAUCUAGCUAAUUUAAUUCUGUUAAUUUGAUAAUCCUUGGAUAUGUGUAUUGGAAAGUGUUGGAUAUGUUCACCAACUUGAGUUAUUUAUAAAAAUAAUAAAGUUGGGAUACAAAUAAAUAGCGAGAAUGGUAAAAUACUUAGUAGCCUUGAUACUGUUUACAGCAUGUAGAUAUGUAGUAAUUUUAUAUAGUUACCAAGGUUCAAUGGAACAGGGAUACAAAUGCUUUUAAAUAAAAUAAAUAUUAUCUAAUAUCAAGUACUGAUGAUAAUAGAUAAUAGAAAUAAAAAUAAAAAUAAUUGGUCCUUGAAAAACUGCUUGGAAGAUUGCUAAUCUGGAAGUAAGAUGCCAUUGGCCUAAUUUAGAAAGAAAUCCUCCAAGAUUGGCUGCUGUUUUCUUGCAAAUUACUUAUGUUGAGUGUGUAGCUUUGGACUCCUGGAUCUCCAUGUUCCCGGCCUAAAUUCAAGUCUUUUGUGACCUUUGUGCAACUCUUUGACUUUUCAAGGUUGAGAAUUCAGAACAGGUAAAAAAAAACUGGAGUCUAGUAAGCAUCUUUUCCAACUAAUACAUUUUAUUAAAAGGCAUAAACUUUCGUGAGCUGCAGCUUAUUUCAGCAUCCUAUAUAAUUUAUAUAAAAUUUAGCCAGAAAAGUUGAUUUUUUUCUUCUAGACUGGCACUUAUUUUCCAGUUCUGAAAAGGAAAAUUGAAAUAGACUGUCUUCUCCUAGAUGCCUAGAAUUGCAAUCAAAUAACUCCAGAGUAUAAAUUUAUGCGUUGUAGUUUUGAAAAUAGAAGUGACUUAUCAAUUCUUAUAUCAACAUAAGUUUCACCAGCUUGUGACAGCAUAGCUAUUUUGUUUUUCAUUCUUUGAUUUUGAUAUUACACAAACAAGAACUUGCAUUUUAUUUGUUUUUGGAUACUUAUUAGAGAAUUCUUCAGAUUGCCAUGAAGCUGCUUGGAUACCUUACAUUGAAUCAGUCUAACCUACUUCAUAAUGCUGUAAAAAUAAAAUGUAUUUGCAGCAUGAGGAAUUUAAUCAUAUGUAUUCUGUCCUGAGUUUCUAGAGGAUUGUCAAAUGAAAGAAAGAACAUUCCAAUUCAGAAAUUGUUUAGAGGUACUUCAAAAGGCAAUAGAACAUGGUACCGGCCUUUGAGAAUUAAAGAACAUUGAAUUGACUUUCAUCUGAGGUUAGUCCAACAGAAGCAUUGAAGGAGAUUGCGGAAAUGAAGUAUGGAAACUAAGAAAAUAUGGGAUUCCCCAUCCCACCCCAGUUGGAUCUUGAAUACAUGAGUAUUGUCUCCACAAAAUGGGCCUGCUUUGUCCAUGCAGCCAAGGGAAGAGUGCCUCAGGAUACACCAAGAAGCUCUAGUGUGUAUACGAUGGUCUUGGCUCCAGGUGUGGUCAGCUAGAUCACAUUGUCAAAAAGCUUCAUGGAACUCAUGAUGUUUUCAUCCUGCCAGAGAAAAGAUGGAAUCAAGGCCUUAGAAAAAGUGGGAAAUUAAGAAGACCCUCAGGCCGAUGACAAACCGUGGAGAGCUCAAACUCAUCCUCUAUGCUGUCUGCAGGAGAAAGAAGAACCUCAGAAGUAUAUCAGCUUAUCGCUCCCACAAGACGGGUCCUCAUUUUACCUACCUCGAAAGGAUGGAAGGCUGAGUCAACCGUGAGCCUGGUGAGAUCUGAACUUGCAGUAAUUGCAGGCAGCUGGUGCUACUUUAACAGCAUGUAGUCAACUGCGCCACCAAAGCUCUUGGAUAUAGCGCUUUACAGUGCUUUACAAGCCCUCUCUAAGGAGUCAGCAUAUUGCCCCCAACAAUUUGGGACCUCAUUUUACCCACCUUGGAAGGAUAGAAGACUGAGUCAACCGUAUUAUCAAUGUUUAUGUUGAACAUGAACCCAAGCAAGAAAGCGGCAUUUUAAAAACAAGGCAGGUCCUGAAAGCGCCUCCUCUGAUCUCUCCAGCAAGUGGUUGAUAUAUGCCAGCGUUCCCAUUCCUUAUCCAAAAUGUUUUGAAAGUUGCUGGGAAGUGUAAAGGGGGGAAGAUCAACCCCUGAUUAGUGGUAGCUUCUUACCACCUUUAUUCACAUUUUUAUCCCACAGCUGGCUCUUUAAUUGUGCCCCUUCUUCCUAGUGCACAGAAUCACCCUGUCAAUUUCAAUCAGGACUUUUGUCUAGUAUCCACUGUAGACUUGAUUAUGUGCAAACUUCUUGUAGUUGGACUUUUAUCUUUUCUUUCCUCCCUGCAACUCUGUCACAUCCUCACUUAGGCACACACUUACUCUGUUUCCUGCCAAUUUUUCUUCUGAAUUAUUGAUGCCAGCAUUUUAAGAGCCACAAUCAAUAACACCAGAUUUUCAACCUGCCCUACAGUCCCUCUUUUUUCCUAUUAAUAUGUCAGGUUUUGGACCACCAAUGAGUUAGCCAGUUUGUGGCUUCUGGAUAGUAGGAAAGAUGGCAAUGUCCUUCAGAACAAUGGGUUCCAAGACAGCACUCCAGAUACCAUUAAUCCCUGGCGUUACAUGGCAUGGUUUGUGGUGAAGCCUCCCUAAACUAUUAAAA